rnacentral:lncRNA from 10 species
ACAAGGCGGAGUACCUCUAUUACCCCAUGUAUGGUUGAGGGAGGUGACACACAGUGCACUAGGUUCUAUACCUGCCCUCAAAGCCAGGCAGUCAGGUGCCAGGAUCUGCUUCCUGAGCCACUGCCCUGCACCACCUAGAGAGCAGGUGUCACUUACAGUAAAAUUUAAAAUGGGCUUAUGGAAAUCCUACAUCCCUCCAAUGUCUCUUCUCAGGUAACAGGUUGAAGACCCAGGUAUGCAUCUCUUUUAGAAAGACAGGAGCUUGUCCUACACAAGUCUACCCUAGGACUCCACUUUCAUUUCAAUUUUGAAACCUAUUUAUAAUCUAAUAGGGCCUCAGUAAAGCCUCAGGAAUCUGCUUCUGGAGUUAUUUCCUGUUGAUGUCGUUGCAGAUAUUCUCAAAGGCCUUUUGCUGACUGCUCUAGGCCCGGACCCUACAUCCAAAGGAGAGGAUGACUGAUCCCUGGCUGAUUCUUUGCACCAACUUUGACCGACAGCUGUCAUGGCAGAUUCGUCGAGGGCAUGGGCAUAGGAUAACAGCUGAAAGCCAGCUGGACCAUUCAGGAAUGCUCAGGUUUAAAAACAUGAACUAUGGGAUGCCUAUGGUAGCAUCGGGCAAGCUGAUGGUUACAGAGGGCAGUGGCCACCGUUCAGGGGACUGCAGCGUCCUGGGAGAGAGACUCGGGAAGACCAGGAGAUGGCGACGCAUGGGAAAGGCUCUGCUGGAGGUCAGCCUGGGAAGCCGGGCAGGAGCCAGGGAGGGCUGGGCUGAGGCGGGGCAGACAGGGAGUGGGGGCCCAGAGGUUUCCCAGAGACAUGCUGACAUUUAAGCUGAAUUUUUAAAAUUGAGCAGGUUUUUAGUUUGUUUAGUUUUAGUGAUAGAGUCUAGAUGGGAUCUCAGAAACCCCCUCUAAAGUCACGAGGAAGGAAAGGACACCUAGAAGUUAGGAUUUCCAAAAAGCAAGGGCU